rnacentral:rRNA from 1 species
GGGAAUUCGAUUAGAGUUUGAUCAUGGCUCAGAACGAACGCCGGCGGCAGGCCUCAAACAUGCAAGUCUAGGGGGUGUAGCAAUACAUCACCGGCGGACGGGUGCGUAACACGUGGGAAUGUACCUAUUGGUUCGGAACAACGCAGGGAAACUUGCGCUAAUACCGAAUGUGCCCUCGGGGGAAAGAUUUAUCGCCAAUGGAUCAGCCCGCGUUCGAUUAGCUAGUUGGUGAGGUAAUGGCUCACCAAGGCGACGAUCGAUAGCUGUUCUGAGAGGAAGAUCAGCCACACUGGGACUGAGACACGGCCCAGACUCCUACGGGAGGCAGCAGUUGGGAAUCUUGGACAAUGGGGGAAACCCUGAUCCAGCCAUGCCGCGUGAGUGAUGAAGGCCUUCGGGUUGUAAAACUCUUUCGACGGGGACGAUAAUGACGG